CCCAAGGUGGGCGGGCUGGGUGGGGGCCCUCGUCUUACCCAGCAGUGUUUGGGUGCGGUUGGGAGUCUCUAAUACUGCCGGGUAAUGAUGGAGGCCCCCGUCCCUGUGUCAGCAACAUCCAU
rnacentral:pre_miRNA from 8 species